rnacentral:rRNA from 1 species
CUACGUGCCAGCAGCCGCGGUAAUACGUAGGUGGCAAGCGUUGUCCGGAUUUAUUGGGUUUAAAGGGUGCGUAGGCCGUUUGAUAAGCGUGCUGUGAAAUAUAGUGGCUCAACCUCUAUCGUGCAGCGCGAACUGUCGAACUUGAGUGCGUAGUAGGUAGGCGGAAUUCGUGGUGUAGCGGUGAAAUGCUUAGAUAUCACGAGGAACCCCGAUUGCGAAGGCAGCUUGCGGGAGCACCACUGACGCUGAGGCUCGAAGGUGCGGGUAUCGAACAGGAUUAGAUACCCUGGUAGUCCGCACGGUAAACGAUGGAUGCCCGUUCUCCGGCUUUUUUUGUCGGGGGACCGAGCGAAAGCAUUGAGCAUCCCACCUGGGGAGUACGCCGGCAACGGUGAAACUCAAAGGAAUUGACGGGGGCCCGCACAAGCGGAGGAACAUGUGGUUUAAUUCGAUGAUACGCAAGGAACCUUACCCGGGCUUGAAUUGCAGACGUACGAUUCAGAGA